rnacentral:rRNA from 1 species
AUUGAACGCUGGCGGCAGGCCUAACACAUGCAAGUCGAACGGUAACAGGAGCAGCUUGCUGCUUCGCUGACGAGUGGCGGCCGGGUGAGUAAUGUCUGGGAAACUGCCUGAUGGAGGGGGAUAACUACUGGAAACGGUAGCUAAUACCGCAUAACGUCGCAAGACCGAAGAGGGGGACCUUAGGGCCUCUUGCCAUCGGAUGUGCCCAGAUGGGAUUAGCUAGUAGGUGGGGUAACGGCUCACCUAGGCGACGAUCCCUAGCUGGUCUGAGAGGAUGACCAGCCACACUGGAACUGAGACACGGUCCAGACUCCUACGGGAGGCAGCAGUGGGGAAUAUUGCACAAUGGGCGCAAGCCUGAUGCAGCCAUGCCGCGUGUAUGAAGAAGGCCUUCGGGUUGUAAAGUACUUUCAGCGGGGAGGAAGGGAGUAAAGUUAAUACCUUGGCUCAUUGACGUUACCCGCAGAAGAAGCACCGGCUAACUCCGUG